CCUACGGGUUGCAGCAGUGGGGAAUAUUGCACAAUGGGCGCAAGCCUGAUGCAGCCAUGCCGCGUGUAUGAAGAAGGCCUCCGGGUUGUAAAGUACUUUCAGCGGGGAGGAAGGCGAUAAGGUUAAUAACCUUGUCGAUUGACGUUACCCGCAGAAGAAGCACCGGCUAACUCCGUGCCAGCAGCCGCGGUAAUACGGAGGGUGCAAGCGUUAAUCGGAAUUACUGGGCGUAAAGCGCACGCAGGCGGUCCGUCAAGUCGGAUGUGAAAUCCCCGGACUCCACCUGGGAACUGCAUUCGAAACUGGCAGGCUAGAGUCUUGUAGAGGGGGGUAGAAUUCCAGGUGUAGCGGUGAAAUGCGUAGAGAUCUGGAGGAAUACCGGUGGCGAAGGCGGCCCCCUGGACAAAGACUGACGCUCAGGUGCGAAAGCGUGGGGAGCAAACAGGAUUAGAUACCCUCGUAGUC
rnacentral:rRNA from 1 species